rnacentral:rRNA from 1 species
UCGGUGGGGUAACCGCAAGGAGCCAGCCGCCUAAGGUGGGACAGAUGAUUGGGGUGAAGUCGUAACAAGGUAGCCGUAUCGGAAGGUGCGGCUGGAUCACCUCCUUU